rnacentral:ncRNA from 2 species
AUAAGGUCACAGGGCCUUGGUGCACGGGAAACCGGUGGAAAACCGGUGCGGCCCUCGCCACUGUGAUCGGGAAGUCCGGCUCCAUCCCUUCGGGGAGCCACUGGGACGGCGUGGGAGACCACGGCGCCCGGGAAGGCGGAGCCGGGCGGUACGACCCGUCAGCCAGGAGACCGGCCGGGGCGUGUUGUCCAUC